UGGUUUGUUUCUGAUCAGAAACCCUCUGUAUUGUAAGACCUAGGAAAGGUCACCUGAAGACCUAAUUAAGGUCACCUGUAACGGGUUGGGAAGAAUGCCUUUGCCACUCAGGACCCAGGAAGGGUCACUCAGGGCUGAUGAGUGCUUCAGUCUGAGGCAAAGGAGCAGGUAUCUGCCAUGAGACUGGAUCUGAAGAGUGUAUCUCUGCGAGGCACCAAUGGACACACUGAUGCAAGAGAAUGCCUCUCUGGAACUCGGUGUUUUGGGUUUUGCUCUGUAUCUGCUCUGAAAAACAAAUUGGGGAUUCCAGAAAAGGUUGAAACUUCAUACUCUGUA